CCCAAGCCCGCUCUUGGUACGACCCGGGGAUUUCCCGCCGCAGCCCUCCCCCUGACGUCACGGAGUCCCCUGAAAGCCCCGCCCCGGCCCGCACCCGCCUUCUUGGGCCCUGGUAGGAGCGCGGCAGGCGGGAGAGAGAGGCCAUGGCAGGGUCCUGCGGCAUCGGAGGCCCCGCCGCCCUCUGGAAACGCCACAUCGUGCGGCAGUUGCGGCAGAGGGACCGCACGCAAAAGGCACUCUUCCUGGAGCUGGUGCCGGCCUAUAACCGCCUCCUAGAGAAGGCUGAACUACUGGCCCAGUUCUCAGAGAAGGUGCAGCCAGAGCCCAAUGAUGCCACUCUUGCUACCCACCAGGGCUCCUGGGAGAAGGAGUCGGGGCCUGACUCAGACCAAGUGCCAUCACCAGCCACUCUGAGGGUGAAGUGGCAAGAGGAGAAGGAGGGGCUUCAGCUGGUCUGUGGUCAGAUGGCCUACCAGGUGGUGGAGAAGAGCGCAGCCCUGGGCACCCUGGAGUCCGAGCUGGAGGAGCGGCAGAGCAGGCUUGCGGCUCUGGAGGCCCGCGUGGCGCAGCUGCAGGAGGCGCGGGCGCAGCAGACCCGGCAAGUGGACUCUCGGCGGGCGCGGAACGCCGCUCAGCGGGCUGCCUACGAGGCGCUGCGCGCCCGCGCCAGACUUCAGGAGGCGGCACUGCGCAAGCUCGAAGAGGAGGCGCGCGACCUACUGGAGCGGCUGGUGCAGCGCAAGGCGCGCGCAGCAGCCGAACGCAACCUGCGCCUCGAGCGCCGCGAGAGGGCCAAGCAGGCGCGGGUGUCACAGGAGCUGAAGAAAGCUGCCAAGCGGACAGUGAGCAUCAGCGAGAGCCCAGACACCCUAGGCGAUGGGAUCAAGGAGGGGGUGGAGAUGACUCUUGCCCUGCCUGCCGAGCCCGAGUUUCUGGAGAGUGAGGCUGGUGAGAAGUGGAAGAGGCCCUUCAGGUCUGCUUCCGCCACGUCCCUGACGCUGUCCCGCUGUGUGGAUGUGGUGAAGAGUCUUCUAGAUUUCAAGAAGAGGAGAGGCCACUCAGUCGGGGGAGUCCCCGAGCAGCGAUACCAGAGCAUCCCUGUGUGUGUGGCGGCCCGACUUCCUACCUCGGCUCAGGAUGUGCUGGAUGCCCACUUCUCUGAGGUCAAUGCUGUUCGUUUUGGCCCCAACAGCAGCCUCCUGGCCACUGGAGGGGCUGACCGCCUCAUCCACCUCUGGAAUGUUGUGGGAGGUCGCCUGGAGGCCAAUCACACCCUUGAAGGAGCUGGUGGCAGCAUCACCAGUGUGGACUUCGACCCCUCGGGCUCCCAGAUAUUGGCAGCUACUUAUAAUCAGGCCGCUCAGCUCUGGAAGGUGGGAGAGGCACAGUCCAAGGAGACGCUGUCUGGACACACAGACAAGGUGACGGCUGCCAAAUUCAAGCUAACAAGGCACCAGGCAGUGACUGGGAGCCGAGACCGGACAGUAAAGGAAUGGGACCUCUGCCGUGCUUCCUGCUCCAGGACCAUCAAUGUCCUUUCCUACUGUAAUGACGUGGUGUGUGGGGACCAUAUCAUCAUUAGUGGCCACAAUGACCAGAUGAUCCGGUUCUGGGACAGCAGAGUGCCCCGCUGUAUCCAGGUCAUCCCUGUGCAGGGCCGAGUCACCUCCCUGAGCCUCAGCCAUGAUCAGCUGCAUCUGCUCAGCUGUUCCCGUGAUGACACACUCAAGGUCAUCGACUUGCGUGUCAACAACAUCCGCCAGGUGUUCAGUGCUGAUGGCUUCAAGUGUGGUUCUGACUGGACCAAAGCCGUGUUCAGCCCAGACAGAAGCUAUGCACUGGCAGGUUCCUGGGACGGGGCCCUUUAUAUCUGGGAUGUAAACACUGGGAAAUUGGAGAGAAGCCUACGGGGACCCCACUGUGCUGCUGUCAACGCCGUGGCCUGGUGCUACUCUGGGAGCCAUGUGGCGAGCGUGGACCAGGCCAGGAAGAUUGUACUUUGGCGUUAGUGCCACGACCCCCCUGCCUGGGCUGGAGCUCUAGUCCGAAGUUCGAAGCCAGAGGACAGCUUCCCACUGCUUCCCCCGGCUCCAGGGCCAGCGGGCAGCAUUUAGGGAACAGAGAGGCCUUUGGGCUGGUGGCUUGAGGAGACCUGGGCUUGGCCGCCUUUCCUCAUCCUGCACAGAGCUGGGCAGAUCCAGUCUGACCUUUGUGUUGUUCAAGUCUAAGAGGAGGCAGCACACAGAAAGGCCAGAAGCAGAAAAAGGCAGCCGGCUCUUGGAGCCAUGGGAAUUUCACCCUUGGUCCAAGCUGGUCCUGAGGCCAAGCCAACACCUUGGGCCCUCCUGCUUCAGGCACCCAGAGUAGACUGAGGCCCAGGAGGGGCUGUGGGAGUCUGAGGGAGCAGGGAAGGCAGCCCAGAAGGGCCCUGGUGGAAAGGGUCCUAACUGGAGUAUGAUGUCAAGUACUUGGUACACUUGAUGUCACAGACUUGCCUUUAGACCAGCCACUUUUUUGCUCCAGACCCAGAGCCUGGAGUGGGUGGGCAACAGCCUCUAUGUGUCUGUGAGUCUGGGAGGGUAGAGGUGGGCUGGGCCUGGGCCUUCGCUUACAUUGGCAUAAAAUUUAAUCUGCACAAAAAGCAUCUGAAGUACAAGGUAUAGACCCAACAGGGCUCCCCACUCCCUUCAUCAACCUGGGGCCUGGUGGGGGAGUGAGCAGAGCAGCCAUCGCCAGUCCUGAGGCAGUAGAGGGGACUUCGUCCCUGAGUGAUGGAGGCCGACCUCUGGGGGUCUGCGCUGCUGAGUUAAAGGCUUCACGCUAGAACUCUCAGCCUUCAUAUCAUCUUACGAAUCUCUUUGGGGGGAAUCUUUGCCAGUCCCAGGGUUUUGGAAACCAUUUCCAGAAUGAGCAGCAGAGAGCUAAGAGCCUGGACUCUGCAGCCAUACUGUCUGGGUGUGAAUCUCAGCUCCACCAUUUAGUAGCUGAAUGGUUUUUUUGGUGUGUUUGUUUUUACACUUAAUAAACAUUUAUUUC